AAACAGUCCCAGUGUCUUAUCAGAAUGAAGUCACAACUGAGUUUGGUGGGGUUUAUUCCCAAGAAAAUGGGUAGGGAAUUGCGGUCUCAGAGAUAACAGCCCAGACCAAAUGGUUAACCUCCCAGGGAUGGAAGCAGUUCUGUCAGCAAAACUGGGGAAGUCACCCCUAACACAUCUCACAGGCCCUCAACAUAGCCUCCCAAAGGGCUAGAAAACUCAAGUUGUGAGAGGGAAGACAGAAAGAGAAAAUUCCAUUCUGCUGGACCAGAACGUCGCUGCUAGGCGACAGCUUGUAAUUCGAGCUGAGGGCCUGUUAAUGUCCCUGAGAGGUGACUGAGGCAGUAUUUCCAUGCUUGUGAAACCAGAGUUCAAGAAAACCCCCUGCUUCAAUGCUAAAGACUGAUCACCAGACAAAGCAUCACCCUAGAGGUGAGAAAAGUUUGUUCUAUGACACUCAGCCAGAGGGCAGCUUGCGACUGCUCUGUGUGUGUGUGUGUGUGUGUGUGUGUGUGUGUGUGUGUGUGUGUGUGUGUGUGUGUGUGUGUGUGCGCACCCCACACAAUUUUAGGGUGAAGUACACCCCAGUCCUGGUGCAUAUGCUGCCUCUGACUUGGACACUCACAUUAGGGAAGACUUUCCCUCUUUCAGCCAUUGCCUCUAACACCUGUUUCUGGACUUAUUGGAACUUCACAUCGGAUUUAGCAGCCCCCCAAGGGCACUGGCAAGCUUCACAGCUCAGCAAAGGUUCGAAACCAGAGUUGCUCGGCCGAGUUUCCAAAUUCGACACCUUUCUCACUGAAACGAAUUACAAAUUUACUGAAGCACCUCGAGCCCUGUUCCUGGUCAGCUUACAAGGUCUAUUGUGAUCCAGUGGGUGAUGCUUUGAACAUUUGUGCUGCAGUGAAGAAGAGCGGAAGGACAGUUCUACAAUGGGCUUUGGAGUCAGCUUUCCUUUGCCAUUCCAAUGAAAACGUGGUUUUAAAACAAAACAGGCUCCUUGUGCAAUUAAUCCUCCCAUAGAUGUUGUUCCUGGAUCAUUCGGAGAGAAGUGCUGAGACAUAAAAAUGAGAAAAUCCCCACACACUACUCAACACCACGGCAUCUGUAUUCUGUUUCAAUCCACUCUGAAGAUACAAUGCACUCCAAUUUGGUGUGUGCUGAAACUGAAAAACCAAAUUAAGGGGGCUAAAUCUGUCAUAAUGGUUGUAGAAAACCAUUUCCUGUUUUUCAUUAGCCAUCCAUGGAGGGGAUUCUAGAAGUGAAUAAGAUAAUCCCUCACAAUGACUGUCAGACAGUCUCUUGACCAAUCCAGCCAUCUUCUUUCCAUAGUUAAUAUGAUUGGCGCUAAGAGCUUAUCUGCGUCACCUCUACCCAUUUGAAUUUGAGAUACGCUGAUGUGAAACUAGGGAAGAAAGAGGUUUAAAUUGUAUUAUUAACCAUAGUCUAAGUCUUGGCAAAGCUGAUUAAAUCAGUUACUCUCCGAUAAAAUCAUAAUAGGGCCCAUCUGUAUCUAUCUGACAGGAAACAUGUCAUUUGUAAUGUUUUGUGUUGUCUUUAAUGACUCUGAUUGUCGUCUUCCAGAGGGAGAAAGCACAAAAGGCAUCUGUAGGUCUGCAUGAAAAGAAUCACUUAUCGAUCGAGUUGUCAAGCCUGUCAGGCACUUAGUAACAGUGACGCGGCUACAUAAAAUCAAUGUGACAGCAUAUUUAUACACCAACUCCUAAGACUCGUCAAAAGAUGGUGUAUAUGGACUGCUGGAUAGCUCAGUGUUUUUGCAGACCCUUUUACAUGCAAAAUAACAUUUUCUCCUCUCAAUAAAAAAGAACCCUAUGGAUUUGCA
ensembl:lncRNA